rnacentral:rRNA from 1 species
CGCGUGCACUGGUCCGGCCGGGCCUUUCCUUCUGUGGAACCCCAUGCCCUUCACUGGGUGUGGCGGGGAAACAGGACUUUUACUUUGAAAAAAUUAGAGUGCUCCAGGCAGGCCUAUGCUCGAAUACAUUAGCAUGGAAUAAUAAAAUAGGACGUGGUGGUUCUAUUUUGUUGGUUUCUAGGACCGCCGUAAUGAUUAAUAGGGACAGUCGGGGGGCAUCAGUAUUCAGUUGUCAGAGGUGAAAUUCUUAGAUCUACUGAAGACUAACUACUGCGAAAGCAUUUGCCAAGGAUGUUUUCAUUAAUCAGGAACGAAAGUUAGGGGAUCGAAGACGAUCAGAUACCGUCGUAGUCUUAACCAUAAACUAUGCCGACUAGGGAUCGGACGAUGUUAUUUUUUGACUCGUCCGGCACCUUACGAGAAAUCAAAGUGCUUGGGCUCCAGGGGGAGUAUGGUCGCAAGGCUGAAACUUAAAGAAAUUGACGGAAGGGCACCACCAGGGGUGGAGCCUGCGGCUUAAUUUGACUCAACACGGGGAAACUCACCAGGUCCAGACACAAUAAGGAUUGACAGAUUGAGAGCUCUUUCUUGAUUUUGUGGGUGGUGGUGCAUGGCCGUUCUUAGUUGGUGGAGUGAUUUGUCUGCUUAAUUGCGAUAACGAACGAGACCUUAACCUGCUAACUAGCCCGUAUUGCUCAGGCAGUACGCCGGCUUCUUAGAGGGACUAUCGG